UUUUUUGGUCGGCAGCCCAUUCGCUCAUCAAUCAUCUCGCGAUCUCGAUUGUGAGACCUUUUCUCUUCUUCUCUUCGUUCAUGUUCCUUCUUACGAUCAAUCAAUUCUCUCCCCACUCCUGAUUGCUCCUUAAUCGUAUAGUUAAUGGAAUCUCUUCGAUUUCUCAUUCUGAACUCUAUGGAACGUUUCGGUUUGAUUCCUGUUAGAUCCUAUAUAAAUAUCUCCUUAGGUUUUAGUUUUUCUCCAAACAAUUGUUCAAUCCUCUCGACUGCUCAUUACGAUGACGUUAUCCGACUCACAGAAAAUGAUCGGCGAAUCCGUGGUCUCCUCCGGUCCGGUCAAACCCGUCGAUCAGACAAGGCUUCUGGGCCAAUAAUAAUUCUUAGUGGUCCCACUUGAACCCCAUCUCAAAAAACAUAUAAACUCCGAUGAGAGCGAUUAUCGAUCGACUUCUCUUCGUCGUCGUUUGGAAUCACAGCAAUUCACCGUUAUCAGAUACCCUUUUUGGUUUAGCUUGAUGGGUUGUGAUUAAAUUCUCAAGCUUUUGGCUUCCAUGAGCUUCGUGUACUGUUUUUUUUUCUGCUUUGUUGUUUUGUUGUUGCUGUUACAGUUUGUUCAUUGGAACUUGGAUUAAGGACAGUCUCAUGAGACAUUACUUCUUCAGUGCAUGAGCUCUCUGGGUUUUUUCUUUCUUGAACGUUUCGUAGUUCUCUUAAGCUUUGUUUUUGUUUUUCUUUAAGCUGAUUCUUGGUAGUAUGUUGAUUUGCUAGAUAACAAUGAAAGUCACAAGAAGCAAGAAUGUCCAGAUUCCCAAACCCCACCACCGACCGGCUCCUUCAGGACCGUGUUCUGAAUCUACAAGCUCCGUCUACUCUGAGCCGAUGAGAUUGGCCUUGCUUGAGAUUUGGAGUUUCUAAAUGUGUAACAAGGGCAUGAGAAAACUCUGUGGUCGUCGUCGCAAGUGUCAACUAUUCGAUGUGGCAUCAAUAGACUGAGAACUCAAGUGGUGCUAUUGGAGCUAGGCUUUCUGCUGAUGUUGCCACGGAUUGUGGUUUAAAGACGAGAAUGAACGAGGAAACAAGCCUAGAAGCGGACAUGAGUAUAAGAACCGCUCCUUCAUUCCAGGAGAAAGUGAUGAAAACAUAUAUGAAGAAAUCUGCAAUGUUCUACAAAAGCAAGAAUACUUCAAAACAUAGUUAGUGCUUUGGUUUGAGAGAGCGGAAUCAGGAAAGCAACAGUAACUGAGCUGCUGUUGAAGUUUUGCAAUCCUGGAUGAGGUCAACACUUUUGACGGAUUGGAGAUUAGUACCUUCAGCUGGAAUGGCCAGCACAGCAAACCGGGCUAUGAUCAUUGGUGGGUGAAAAAGGAGUUCAAUGAUCAGGCGGUCAUAAGUUGAGAGUGGCCAUAGUCAGAUAAAAUUUUGAACACCCUCCGCUGUUGCUGCUGAAUGAAGCAACAAUUGCUUUGAUGCUUAGUCAGUGUGUGGUUCAAUAUACAGUGGACCGGAUCGUUGUUAACACAUCGGUUUUCAACAAUCAACUCUUAUUAUCAACAAUCAAGAACUCAUGUAUUUUUUAUUUAUUUAAUUAACUCAUGUAAUUAUAGUGGUUAAAAAUGGAGUCAACGUGGUGGAGAAAGGAAGGCAAGAGACUUAGAUAGAUAUAAAAGAUGGAGAAUUAUUUGA